rnacentral:rRNA from 1 species
UACAGAGGUCUCAAGCGUUGUUCGGAUUCAUUGGGCGUAAAGGGUGCGUAGGUGGCGCCGUAAGUCGGGUGUGAAAUUUCGGAGCUUAACUCCGAAACUGCAUUCGAUACUGCGGUGCUUGAGGACUGGAGAGGAGACUGGAAUUCAUGGUGUAGCAGUGAAAUGCUAGAGAUCAUGAGGAAGACCAGUGGCGAAGGCGGGUCUCUGGACAAGUUCCUGACACUGAGGCACGAAGGCCAGGGGAGCAAACGGG